rnacentral:tRNA from 1 species
GAGGGUAUAGCUCAACUGGUAGAACACCUGCUUAGCAUGCACAAGGUCCUGGGUUCAAUCCCCAGUACCUCCA